CGCUGCGUACCGUGCUGCACUGUCAGGAGAAAGUCGAUAGCAACUGACGUCAUCCAUGGCCGGCUGAUGUCAAAAAGAAACCAGUGUACUUGGCUGUAGGUGGUCUAUGUAUGAAACAUCCAGCGAAAUGAUACACUUUUCUUGACUCAGGUGGCAGAGAACACUAACAUCUGUACCCGCUGAG
rnacentral:sRNA from 1 species